CUUAGGGUGUAGCUCUGUGGUAGAGCAGGUGCCUCACAUGCACAAGGGUCUGGGUUCAAUUCCCAGGAUCAAGA
rnacentral:tRNA from 1 species